AUUGAACGCUGGCGGCAUGCCUUACACAUGCAAGUCGAACGGCAGCACGGGAGCAAUCCUGGUGGCGAGUGGCGAACGGGUGAGUAAUACAUCGGAACGUGCCCAGUAGUGGGGGAUAGCCCGGCGAAAGCCGGAUUAAUACCCGCAUACGACCUAUGGGUGAAAGCGGGGGAUCGCAAGACCUCGCGCUAUUGGAGCGGCCGAUGGCAGAUUAGCUUGUUGGUGGGGUAAAGCCUACCAAGGCGACGAUCUGUAGCUGGUCUGAGAGGACGACCAGCCACACUGGGACUGAGACACGGCCCAGGACCUCCUACGGGAGGCAGCAGUGGGGAAUUUUGGACAAUGGGCGCAAGCCUGAUCCAGCCAUGCCGCGUGCGGGAAGAAGGCCUCGGUUGUAA
rnacentral:rRNA from 1 species